AUUGAACGCUGGCGGCAGGCCUAACACAUGCAAGUCGAGCGAGCGGCGGACGGGUGAGUAAUGUAUGGGAAACUGCCUGAAGGAGGGGGAUAACUACUGGAAACGGUAGCUAAUACCGCAUACCAUCAGAAGUGCACAGAUGGGAGUAGCUAGUAGGUGGGGUAACGGCUCACCUAGGAGACGAUCCCUAGCUGGUCUGAGAGGAUGACCAGCCACACUGGAACUGAGUCACGGUCCAGACUCCUACGGUGGGCAGCAGUGGGGAAUAUUGCACAAUGGGCGCAAGCCUGAUGCAGCCAUGCCGCGUGUGUGAAGAAGGCCUUCGGGUUGUAAAGCACUUUCAACGGGGAGGCGUUACCCGCAGAAGAAGCACCGGCUAACUCCGUGCCAGCAGCCGCGGUAAUAC
rnacentral:rRNA from 1 species